UACCAGCACCCCGAGUGGUCGGGACGAUUAUUGGGCCUAAAGCAUCCGUAGCCGGCCUUACAAGUCCUCCGUUAAAUCCAGCUGCUUAACAGAUGGGCUGCGGAGGAUACUAUAAGACUAGGAGGCAGGAGAGGCAAGCGGUACUCAGUGGGUAGGGGUAAAAUCCGUUGAUCCAUUGAAGACCACCAGUGGCGAAGGCGGCUUGCCAGAAUGCGCUCGACGGUGAGGGAUGAAAGCUGGGGGA
rnacentral:rRNA from 1 species